rnacentral:lncRNA from 1 species
GGCUCGUGCCUCACCAUUGCUUUGAGUCAUUUCCUUUUCUCUCCUUCCAUUUUCUCAGUGGCCAAGCGCCCUCCAGUUUGGAGUUGAUGGUUGGUAGAGGACUUACUGCAGCUUCGAGUUGUCAGACUUGUGUGCGGAACUUUCUUCCGUUCAGUAGAACAAUCCUGCCCUCCCAACUGCGUUGCCACCAAAAGACCUUCCGCACCACCUGUGCCUGGCUCCUUGGGAGUGUCCCACUGCUGGUGAGGAGCUGUGUGCUGUGUCCAGCUUCCCCUGUAGGGAAGUCGUUUGGUCGGGUCCCCCGAGUGCUCCCCAGGGGCACACCCAUUCUAGACCUGGAGGUGCAACUUAGCAGUCGGGAGGAAAAAAUGACAAAACACACAAAGAAACCAACAGUCCCCCUCCCCGCCCUCAAGAAAGGGCUUAACAGUCAGUAGGAACAGAGUUGGGGGUGGUCUGGAAAGCGCGGGGUCCCCUUCGAGACGCCCCUCUGCUUUCAUUGCUGCUUUGCCCCCCAGUCCCUCAGGUACGAGCUGGAGCGUUGAGUCAGGACAGUUCUGCCUUUGCGGAGCGGACUUGCGUGUGUUUUCUCUCUGCUCUCCUUGCGUUCCAGGGCCUUCCUGUCGUUUUUUGUAUUUGGUUACAAGAUUAUAGUU